rnacentral:lncRNA from 1 species
AAUAUUUUGCUGAACAGAACUAUUUUGAUAAAUGGAAGUUUUACUCUAUUAGCAUAUAACACAAUUUUUUGAUCCAUAUCUAUAAUUAAAACGAAUAGUGCGCUGACAUCUUCUUAACAAUUUGAAUUGAAGCAUUUUAUUGCUUUACACAGCUAUUUAUUGUAAAAAUUUAACCAUUUUUAUAUUAUGUUUAUUUGAAUGUACCUACCUAAUGAUAUUAUAAUAUAUAGGUACUUAAAGUUAAAACAUAUUAAUAUUGUAGCUGAACCAAAGCGUCACUUGACAAGAAUUUGGAGAAAAAAAAAAUAUUAGAAAAUAUUUAGGAACAUUAAACAAACUUAGAAUCAUUUAUAUGUCUGAGAUUUAUAUGGAAGAUUUGGUAAAAUUUUAAAGUUUCUAGCAUCACAAGAAAUGCAGAAAAACAUAUUGCAUUUUUUUUCUUGACGCAUUAAUGUCAAAAAUCAGAAUUGUUACUACGGGAAGUAAUAUAUGAGUGCGUAAUUGUUCAGAAUGUUAAGCUUGGUGGAUAUGGGCAUGCUAUUGAAAUUGAUGAAUCCAAAUUUGGCAAGAGAAUGGCAUCGAGUUGAAGGGCAAUAGGUGAUUGGAUGAUAUUGUAAAUUAUUUCAUGGUUCGUGUCGAAAAUUGUAACGCCACACCCUAUUAACCUUAAUCAAGCAGUGUGUGAAAUUUGGAACCACAAUUAUUUCAGAUUGUUGAAAGAUGUACGACACCUAGAAAACGAGGGUUAUAUUCUGUGAAUCACAGCCUUCAUUUCAAGGAUCCUGAAUCAGGUGUUCAUCCAAAUAUCACCGAGAGUUCUUGGAGCUACGUCAAAGUGUCGCAGUAAUGCAGAAGAAAAAAUUCCUGCUAAUUGCCUGCCAAUUUUUAAAAGCUGAAUUUUCAAAAUAGGGUGCUCGUUAUUGCAGUAUAUUAGAAAAGUUCCAUUGUAUUAUUUAAUAUUUUAAAUUACUUUAUAUUACGUAGUGACACACAUUUUAUCUUUACAUCUCCCAGUAUUUAUGUCAUAAAACCUAAUUCUAUUAUAGGUAACCUAAUGACAGUUAAGUUGGUAAUGUUUUGCAUGUAGUGUAAAUGUGUAAUACAGCUGGGGUGGGUUACUCUGAUUAGUAUAUAUUUUAAAGAUAAUAAUCAACUUUUUAAAAUGUUUAUAAAAUUAUUUUAUAGCUUUUUAUCAAUAUUGAAGAACCUGGUUAAAUUACACGUUAUACUAAUAAGUUUUUAUUUUUGUAUUAUUCCAUGUCAAAUCACUGAAUUUAACAAAAUUUGUUUUGUACAACACAUACUUUAGUUUUAUCAUGUGUGUUAUGAACAUUUAGUUUACGCCAUGUUAUACUUAUAACUUGCUAAAAAAUUUAACUAUAAAAACAUACAAACACAGAUAAUGUUCUUACCAUCAAGUAUCAUAAUAGGUCGAUUCACUCUAAUCUUUAACCUAAUGGAGUUAAAUGUGAUCUGCGAAGCGUAAGUUUGGUAUGUUACGCACUUGUUGUAAGACGGAAACAACACAUGCGGGUAUGGUGUCCUCUUGAGUUAUUUAUUUUAUGAAUAUUUUAAACAUAAUGUUCAUGUACAAUGACUAUGAAUUUUUAUUACUAAAUAGAUUAUUAUAAUAAAUAGAUAGUUGGAAAAGAAAAUUUGCUUCACAUGAAAUUAAAAAAAAUUUCUGAGAUUUAAGAUACAAUGUAGAUGAGCAUAAUUUCUAAAUAGCAUCUCAUGAUAGUGUAUCCGUAUUUUUCUUUGCUUUAAGGGCGUUGGAUGCGGUGAUUUUCUGUCUCUAUCUAACAAACGUUGAAUAUAGGAAACAAACCUAAGUGACUGACAAAAAUUAAGUUAAAGUUGUUCAAUUAAAAAAAUUAAAAGAUGUUUGAGUUUAUUGCUAUACAAGUUUACUUUGCAUCGGCCAAAGUACUUUUUCAAUUGUAGCAAUAUUUUUAUGAGAAUAAAUAUUUUAAAUUUUAUAAAUUUGUCAAUUUGUAAUAUUAAAUAUAUUAAAAAUAUGAUUCGACCGAAGCGAAGUAAACUUGUAUACCAAUUCAAACAUUUCUACAUUUUUUGAAUCAAACAACUAGAUGUACCUCAAUUUCUGUCAGUCGCAUAGGUCGUUAUUCCUAUGUUCCAAGUGUGUUUGACAAAGACAGCAAAGACAACACCCUUAAACCACUUGUUUUUAAUAACAUAUCAGCAGUUCUAUGCUGUAGUAUCAACCUGUUAUUUUGCUGACAUAAUACUACGAUUAAAGAUAUAUCUUUAAUUGUGCAUAAUACUUAACAAGUUUGAUGAAUAAUUUAAAUUUGAG